rnacentral:rRNA from 1 species
AGCGAACGCUGGCGGCAGGCUUAACACAUGCAAGUCGAGCGGGCACUUCGGUGUCAGCGGCAGACGGGUGAGUAACACGUGGGAACGUACCCUUUGGUUCGGAAUAACGCUGGGAAACUAGCGCUAAUACCGGAUACGCCCUUUUGGGGAAAGGCUUGCUGCCGAAGGAUCGGCCCGCGUCUGAUUAGCUAGUUGGUGGGGUAAUGGCCUACCAAGGCGACGAUCAGUAGCUGGUCUGAGAGGAUGAUCAGCCACACUGGGACUGAGACACGGCCCAGACUCCUACGGGAGGCAGCAGUGGGGAAUAUUGGACAAUGGGCGCAAGCCUGAUCCAGCCAUGCCGUGUGAGUGAUGAAGGCCUUAGGGUUGUAAAGCUCUUUUGUCCGGGACGAUAAUGACGGUACCGGAAGAAUAAGCCCCGGCUAACUUCGUG